GCCCGCGUAGCUCAGCGGUAGAGCAACCGCCUUGUAAGCGGUAGGCCGCCGGUUCGAUCCCGGCCGCGGGCU
rnacentral:tRNA from 1 species